rnacentral:rRNA from 1 species
GCCAGCGGUAGGUAAAGGACUUCGCGUCCGGAGCUGAAACUGGCCGCAGUGAAAGGGGCCAAGCGACUGUUUAACAAAAACACAUGACUCUGCUAAGUCGAUUUAAGACGAUGUAUAGGGUCUGACACCUGCCCGGUGCUGGAAGGUUAAGAGGAGAGGUUAGUGCCUUCGGGUGCGAAGCUUUGAAUCGAAGCCCCAGUAAACGGCGGCCGUAACUAUAACGGUCCUAAGGUAGCGAAAAUUCCUUGUCGGGUAAGUUCCGACCUGCACGAAUGGUGUAACGACUUGGCCACUGUCUCGGCUGCGAGCUCGGUGAAUUUGUGUCCCGGUGAAGACGCCGGGUACCCGCCACGGGACGGAAAGACCCCAUGCACCUUUACUGCACCCUAGCAUGGGUUCGGAUAAAACAUGUGUAGGAUAGGUGGGAGACUUUGAAGCGGGGGCGCUAGCCUUCGUGGAGUCAUCGUUGAAUACACCUUGUUUUAUUGUAUUCUAACGUCGGACCAUGAAUCUGGUCUACGGACAGUGUUAGGCGGGUAGUUUGACUGGGGC